rnacentral:snRNA from 1 species
CCAGCACUAAUGCACCGG